rnacentral:rRNA from 1 species
GACAGAGGGUGCAAACGUUGUUCGGAAUUACUGGGCGUAAAGCGCGUGUAGGCUGUUUCGCAAGUCGGAUGUGAAAGCCCUGGGCUCAACCCAGGAAGUGCAUUCGAAACUGCAGAGCUGGAGUCCUGGAGAGGAAGGCGGAAUUCUCGGUGUAGAGGUGAAAUUCGUAGAUAUCGAGAGGAACACCGGUGGCGAAGGACG